rnacentral:rRNA from 1 species
UACGUAGGGGCCUAGCGUUGUCCGGAUUUAUUGGGCGUAAAGAGCUCGUAGGUGGCGGGUCACGUCGGGUGUGAAAGCCCGGGGCUUAACCCCGGGUCUGCAUUCGAUACGGGCUUGCUAGGGUCCGGCAGGGGGAGACUGGAAUUCCUGGUGUAGCGGUGAAAUGCGCAGAUAUCAGGAGGAACACCGGUGGCGAAGGCGGGUCUCUGGGCCGGUACCGACGCUGGAGGAGCGAAAGCGUGGGGAGCGAACAGG